rnacentral:rRNA from 1 species
AUGCCGAGGAGCACGCGACGCAGGUCCCGCAAGCACGACCGGGAGGAGCGGGACAGGUCGGACUCCGACGAGGAUCCGCGGCCGCGGGAGCACGAGGACUGGAAGGCGGCCGCCGUUAGGGCCUCCAAGUGCUCGGAGGACCACGAGAAGCGGCCUGCAAAGCUUUCCAACGCGGGCGAGGCAUCUGGUUCGUCGGCUGACGGGCAGAAGAAGAGGAAGAGCAGAGGGGAGAAGGAUAAUGCCACCGGGGAUGACAGGUGGAGUUACGGCGAAGAGGAUGAGAGAGUCGGUUACCAUGACUCGAAGAAGUCCAGGAGUUCAGAUGGUGAUGAGAAGGGGAAGUCUGCAAGGAAGUCUAGUAAGGAGUAUGAUAGGGCCAACGAGGUUGCCGGAAGGAAGUCAGAUAAAGAGGCAUUAUUGUUGGAGGAGCAUACUUCCGGCGAGCAUCACCGAGUGAAGGAGAGGGGGAGGGAGCUUGAGCCAGAGAAGUCAAAGGAAAGCAAGCAAGUGUUGACGCUGAAGGAAGACAGCACAGAUCAGCAGCAUAAGAUUGUGAAGGAUAGGAGUAAGGAUCAUGAAAAGGGGAGUGAGCGCAGGCAUGAUGCAUCACUGAAAGCUACGCCAAGAAACAAAGAGGUGAAAACACGAGAUUUGGACAGCGAUAAAACGAAGAAUUAUUCCAAUGGAGGAACUGAUGCAGACCGUCAUCGUGAAGAUGAGUUGCACGAUGGAGAAUCUGAAAAGAAUGGGAGGCACAGGAAAACAAAGGAACAGUCUGCUGCGAAAGAUGAGUUACAAAGCAGCAGCAAGGGAAGGCAAACCAUGCCUCGGGAUGCUCGUACCAAAACUGAUGGAUGUUACGAGCAGCAACACACAGAUGAGAAAUUGAAAGAUGACAUGCCUAGAGGUGUGGAAAAACAUAGAGAAGAAAAAUAUAGAGAUGAUAGGUCCAAAGCUCAGGACAGGCAUAAAAGUAACAAACACAAAGACGAUAGGCAUAAAGAUGAGGAACUGCAUAGAGAUGAAAGGUACAAAGAGGAAAGGUUGAGACAUGAAGAUAGACAUAGGGAUGUAAAAUACAAAGGGGAAAGAACUAAAGAGGAGGACCGAUAUAAGGACGAAAGAUACAAAGAUAAGCCUAGAGAUGAAGAGAAACCUAGGAAUGAAAGAUCUGAUAACAGCUCUAGAGAGAAACAUCGAGAUGAAGAGAAAUCUAGGAAUGAAAGAUCUGAUAACAGCUCUAGAGAGAAACAUCGAGAUGAUCUUUAUAGAUAUCAUAGGAGUCAAGAUGGUGGAUCAUGGGAUGUGCGAUCCUCAAAGGACAGCACUAGAGACAGGUCAUUGGAAAAGCACUGCAAAGAGGAACAUAAUUAUUCAGAGAGCAGGCACAAUAAAAGUAGACUCCAUGACAGCAAAGGGAAGAAAAGGUCUUAUGAAGAAAGCGGUCAUAAUGGUGAUCUGGAACCCAGGAAUGCAAAAGAAUAUCAUGGAGAUGCUAAACGCAGGUCUGAUGUAAGCUCAUUUGUUUCCAAUGAAGACCGUAGGCGAGAAUAUGAGAAGGUUGAUUCUCGGAGGAGGGAUUUUGAGAGGAAGAGCCCCACCAGAUCCAGCACAUAUCCUGUGAAGGAGCAAAGCAGGCAUUUCCCUAAGCAAGAAGAAUCCUCACCCAGGGAGAAUGGUGCUGCUCUUGGAAGACAUAGACGAACAUCUGACUUUCAAUCAGUUGAGGGUCUUAGUAAAACUGAUGCAAAUAGCAAUGAAUCCUCUCUGCCCUUGAAAGAUGGUAGAAAUUUGAGAUCUGAUGGCCGACCAAUCCAUUUUAAUGACAGACCACCAUCAGCGAGUGAUUGUCAAGUUUCCAACCGGAGCAAUCUGAGGCAUAAUCAUGAUGCUGUUGAUGGUUCAGUGAAGAAAGGCAAUACCAGACAUCAUGAGUUAUUAUUGAAUCGUCAAGCUACUGAGAAGAACUAUCAAAGUGCAUCACCAGGGCAUCUCCAUCUGCCACGUGAUAGACCUGAGAUGGACAAUCAAAGAUCCUUUGAUGAUGAUAAUAGGAGCCAGAUUAGAGAACGCAGGUCAAGCAGCCGCCCCAGAAGAAGUGGUACUGUUGAUAAUGCAAGAGGGCAUGGUAGCACUUGGAAUAAUCCGCCUUCAUGGCCUUCACCAGUACCAAGUGGUUUUGGUCCUUUCCAGCAUGGUCCUCCAAUCCCUGGUUUUCACCCAGCUAUCCACCAGUUCCCUCAAUCUUUAUUUGGGAUGCGGCCAUCUAUGGAUACGAAUCAUGCUGGGAUGCAUUAUCCUUUGCAUGGACAUCCUGAAAGUUUUCCUCAUUGUGUACAACCAUUUCCAUGGCACAAUCCUGCAGAAGACCCAUAUAUCUCUCAGGUACCUGGUUGGGAUGCAAGUAGAAGUGUCUUUGAAGAAUACUCACACAGCUAUGGCCAGAAUAAUGAUCCUGAUUUUCAACAGCAGUUAGAGUCGGAGGUGCCACUUUCAUCUCAUACUUCUGACAAGCCUUCGUUAAUGCAACUCCCAGCUCAAAAUCAAAGUCAAAGCUCUGAAGUCAAAACAGUUGAGGCUAAUGCUGAAAAAACUGAUGCACAUGCUCCAAAAUAUAGAUCUGAGGCAACUCCUGGGCCUUCUAUUGUAAAAGUGGAUUCUCGGUUUUGCUCCAAAUACUUCAAGAGGCUUGAUAUUUCGACAAGCCUUGCUUCACCAGAGCUGUACAAAAAAUGCAGUACAAUGGCGGGGGAGUUGGAGCUGGCUGGAUGUGAAUCUACCAUGCGUCGGUGCUUGAAGAAUAAUAAAGAUGAGCAUGGACAUCAAGCUCAAGGUUUCAAAUACAUGAUAAAGUCCAUAUUUUCAGGGGAAACAACUUCUGUAUUUGAGAAUGCCAUGAAGCUUUAUAGUUCAAGCACUGGUUCUAGGAAGUCCAAAGCUCUCGCAUCAUCUUCACAACCAGAAAGUGAAGAGAUGAUCAAGGAGGCUUCUGUGGACGUGGUGGUGGGGAAAAAUGUUGCUGCUGGCGAGGACCAGGCAUUGCCUUGUACUGAUGAUAUGCGCGAUGAAGUAGAUAAUAACGGCCAGUCUCAUCAUGCAGUGGUUUCUAGCAUGCCUGGUUUGGCGAAAAACUGCAGCAAGACAGGAGAAGACAAGGUAGGCUCAGAUGUUGAAGACAAAAGCCUCAGCAUCAACCAUGCUGAGGGGCUGCAUGUUCCGAGCAACGGUGAGGGGAAGCUCCUCCCUCCCAAAGCUUUGCAACCUUGUUGCAGCUCUGUAGGCAGUGUUUCCGACGUUCCGAAAGAGCAGUUUUCGGGUGUCAUUUCUGAUGCUACAUUUGCCUCUGGUUCUCAGUCGUGCGAGGAUGUCAUGCCAGGUUGUAGGGUUAAUUUUAACCGGAUACCUUGCUCUCCUGGGAGUACUUAA